rnacentral:rRNA from 1 species
UACGGAGGGUGCGAGCGUUGUCCGGAAUCACUGGGCGUAAAGGGCGCGUAGGUGGCGGCUUAAGCGUGCGGUGAAAGCUCGGGGCUCAACCCCGAGUCGGCCGUGCGAACUGAGUCGCUUGAGCACUGUAGAGGCAGGCGGAAUUCCGGGUGUAGCGGUGGAAUGCGUAGAGAUCCGGAAGACACCGGUGGCGAAGGCGGCCUGC